rnacentral:misc_RNA from 1 species
AAACACGAGACUGAUAUGCAAGUUGGAGCUGUAAUCUCUCUGCCCAAUUCCAGCCUCAAUCUCUCUGCCUUUGUCUUUUCUCUUCAUUGGCUAGCUUACGCAUACAAGCAAAAACCACUGCUCUGCCUCUAAUCAUAAUUCUCUCUAUCUCCAUUAGCUGAUUCUGGAGAAGGAGCAAAUCGGCUAAUGGCUGGGAACGAUUGGAUUAACAGCUACCUCGAGGCAAUCCUCGAUGUCGGCCCUGGCCUUGAUGAUGCUAAGUCGUCUUUGCUACUCAGAGAGAGAGGAAGAUUCAGUCCCACUCGAUAUUUCGUCGAAGAAGUCAUCACUGGAUUCGAUGAGACCGAUCUCCACCGCUCCUGGGUUAAGGCUCAGGCGACGAGGAGUCCGCAGGAGAGGAACACCAGAUUGGAGAAUAUGUGCUGGAGGAUUUGGAACUUAGCUCGCCAAAAGAAGCAGCUUGAGGGAGAGCUUGCCCAAAGGAAUGCUAAACGUCAUCUUGAACGUGAAAGAGGCCGCAGAGAGGCAACUGCUGAUAUGUCUGAAGAUCUAUCGGAAGGAGAAAAAGGAGAUGCAGUAGGUGACGUAUCGUCUCAUGGUGAUAGUAACAGAGGCAGACUGCCUAGAAUCAAUUCUGUUGAUGCAAUGGAGGCAUGGGCUAGUCAGCAAAAGGGCAAAAAGCUGUACAUUGUGUUAAUAAGCCUUCAUGGUCUAAUACGAGGUGAAAAUAUGGAGCUUGGACGUGAUUCCGAUACUGGUGGUCAGGUUAAAUAUGUUGUGGAACUUGCAAGGGCUUUGGGCUCAAUGCCAGGAGUCUAUCGAGUGGAUUUGUUAACUAGACAAUUAUCAGCACCAGAUGUAGAUUGGAGUUAUGGUGAGCCCACAGAGAUGCUUACCCUUAGAAACUCAGAAGAUUCUGAGGAUGAGAUGGGGGAGAGCAGUGGUGCCUAUAUUGUUCGUAUACCCUUUGGAACAAAGGAUAAAUACAUCCCUAAAGAAAAUUUGUGGCCUUACAUCCCUGAAUUUGUUGACGGUGCUCUUAACCACAUAAUUCAGAUGUCCAAAGUUCUGGGAGAGCAAAUUGGUGGUGGGAAGCCAAUCUGGCCUGUUGCCAUCCACGGACAUUAUGCUGAUGCAGGCGAUUCUGCUGCUCUUCUAUCAGGUUCUUUAAAUGUGCCAAUGCUUUUCACUGGUCACUCACUUGGCCGGGAUAAGUUAGAACAGCUACUAAAACAAGGCCGAUUAUCGAGGGAUGAAAUAAAUUCUACAUACAAAAUAAUGCGUCGGAUAGAGGCUGAGGAAUUUUCGCUGGAUUCUUCUGAAAUAGUCAUAACUAGCACUAGACAGGAGAUUGAUGAGCAGUGGCGCUUAUAUGAUGGUUUUGAUCCAAUACUGGAGCGUAAACUGCGAGCAAGAAUCAAGCGUAAUGUGAGCUGUUAUGGCAGGUUCAUGCCUCGCAUGGCUAUAAUUCCUCCUGGGAUGGAGUUUCAUCACAUUGUUCCCCAAGAAGGGGAUAUGGACGGUGAAGUGGAAGGAAAUGAGGACCAUCCUACUUCUCCUGAUCCACCAAUAUGGUCUGAGAUAAUGCGCUUCUUUACGAAUCCUCGUAAGCCUAUGAUACUUGCCCUUGCUAGGCCAGAUCCCAAAAAGAACAUCACAACUUUGGUUAAAGCAUUUGGAGAAUGUCGUCCAUUAAGAGAGCUUGCUAACCUUACGCUAAUUAUGGGUAACCGAGAUGGAAUUGAUGAAAUGUCAAGCACAAAUGCUUCUGUUCUUCUUUCAGUGCUUAAGCUUAUUGACAAGUAUGAUCUGUAUGGGCAAGUUGCAUACCCUAAACACCACAAGCAGGCUGGUGUCCCUGACAUAUAUCGUCUAGCAGCAAAGACAAAGGGUGUUUUCAUCAAUCCAGCCUUCAUUGAGCCAUUCGGGCUUACUUUGAUUGAGGUGCUCUUGUUAACACUAUGUGGAGUCUAUUUUUAUGUUUAUUUAAUAGGCUCAUGCUAUUUCCACAGUUUAAUUUACUAGAGUCAUUGCUUAUUAAUUGCUUAAGUGUGGCCCACCGCACAAAAGAUCUCACACUUGUGGGCUUUGGGGAGAGAAUUUACAUAACCUUACCCCUAAAUUGUAUAUAGGCCGUUUCUGUGGCUUGAACUCAUGACCUCUAGUUUACAAAUGGAAUAAAUUUACUGUAACACUAAAGCCAUCCUCUACCUUAUUAAUUGCUUAAAUGUUGAAAAAAAAAAUACCGAUUAAUUUGAAUAGAACGGUAAUAUAACCAGUUUGUCAAGAAGAAUGAAUCAGAUCCAUCUCUUUACUUUUAUCCUUCCUUUACUUUUCUCUUUUUUUCUAAAGAUUAUAUGGAAACACUUUUUUUUCUUCCCUCUCCUAAUUUUUCCUCUCUUCUUGUUUCAACCAAAAGAAACAAUUGCAGGGCUCUGUUACCACAAAUUUAUGCACUAUGCUAUUAUAAGUAAAAGUAAUUUCUCCUAUCUGUUCUUCAGAGAUUCAAGAUGAUUUCUAUGGAUGGUUUUUCCAGUUUCCUUGCCUCAACAAAAUAAUGACUUAGGGAAAGUCAUUAGAUGAGCAUCAAAUCUGAUGUUUUGCCAACAAUGCUAUUUUGGUUUAUUUGUUUAUUUACAGAAUAAAUAAGCUAUGGCUCUAGUCACAAUACCUGUGGAAAUAGCCUGAGCCUGUUUAAUAUUCAUGACCUGAGGUAAACUGUUACUCUUCUGUUGAGCAGGCAGCAGCUCAUGGUUUGCCCAUUGUUGCCACAAAAAAUGGAGGCCCAGUGGACAUACACCGGGUACUGGACAAUGGUCUUCUUGUUGAUCCUCAUGAUCAGCAGUCUAUUGCUGAUGCUCUUCUAAAGCUUGUUGCUGACAAGCAGCUUUGGGCAAAAUGCCGACAAAAUGGAUUGAAGAAUAUUCACCUAUUCUCAUGGCCAGAGCAUUGCAAGACUUACCUAUCACGAAUAGCCAGCUGCAAACCAAGGCAUCCACAGUGGCAAAAAGAUAAUGAUGGAGCUGAUACUUCAGAUACAGAUUCACCAGGUGAUUCGUUAAGGGACAUACAUGAUAUAUCUUUGAACUUGAAGUUCUCAUUGGAUGGAGAAAAGACUGGAGCUAGUGGAAAUGAUAAUUCUCUAGAAUCUGAAGGAGAUGCUGAUAGAAAGGGUAAGUUAGAGAAUGCUGUUUUGGCAUGGUCAAAGGGUGUUUUGAAGAACACACAAAAGACUGGAUACAUAGAAAGAGGAGAACAAUACAAUAGUUCUGGUAAGUUUCCAGCUUUGAGAAGGAGGAAACAAAUUUUUGUCAUUGCAGUGGAUUUCGAUGCCAUUUCUGGGCUUAUAGAGGCAACUAGAAAAAUUUUCGAGGCUGUUGAAAAAGAAAGGACUGAAGGCUCAAUAGGGUUCAUAUUGUCAACGUCUUUGACCAUAUCUGAGAUACACUCAUUUCUGGUCACAGGGGGAUUUAGUCCCAGUGAUUUUGAUGCUUUUAUAUGCAACAGUGGUAGUGACCUAUUUUACUCAAAUCUUAAUUCAGAGGAUGGUCCCUUUGUGGUUGACUUUUAUUACCACUCACAUAUUGAGUACCGAUGGGGUGGAGAAGGGCUAAGAAAGACUUUGGUUCGCUGGGCUACUACAGUUAAUGAUAAAAAGGCUGAGAAAGGGGAACAGAUUGUUACAGCAGCCGAACAGCUUUCAACCAACUAUUGUUAUUCUUUUACCGUGCAAAAGCCAGGAGUGGUAAUUUUCUUUUCCUUCCUACUUGCAAGUGACUUCCUGAUUGUUGUUCUCAAACUGAGGGUGAAUUUAUUUUCCAGACUUCAUUUUUUGUUGCCUGAUCAUUUUUCACAUACACAUACAGUGUGUAAUGCAAUAGAUAUCAGGGAAAUUCAUCUGUUUGUCUUUUGAAGGUUCCCCCUGUUAAAGAGCUCCAGAAGUUGCUGAGGAUUCAGGCUCUCCGAUCCCACGUUAUAUAUUGCCAAAAUGGGACCAGGAUAAAUAUAAUUCCAGUAUUGGCUUCUCGCUCCCAAGCCCUAAGGUAGAGUUUUCUAUGUGGACCAAUAUACAUGAUAUUGACUUUCAUUUCAUGCGACUUCAACUUAUAAGCAGAACUGGGUAUAUAUUGAGAAGACCAGCUGUUGAGUACAAAGUUGUCGCUAAAUUUGAAAGGCCCCAUGGAGAAUAGUUUGAUGCAUGAUUGAACUUUUAGCACAAUUGCCCCCCCUAAUUGCUCAUUUGUGACUUUUAAUGAUUUAAAACAUGUUUCAGGUAUCUUUAUGUUCGGUGGGGCAUUGAUUUGGCAAAUAUGGUGGUUUUUGUUGGAGAAUCUGGGGACACAGAUUAUGAAGGAUUGCUUGGUGGGCUACACAAGAGUGUAAUAUUAAGGGGAGUUUGUAGUAGUGCAAGUAACCAACUCCAUGCCAACAGAAACUACCCUCUCACAGAUGUUAUAGCGUCAGACAGCCCCAAUAUUGUUCACACAGCUGAAGAAUGCACCAAGUCUGAUAUCCGGGGUUCCUUGCAGCAAUUAGCAUGUGUCAAGGGCUAGAUAGUCCCACACUUACCCUUCAUCAUUCAAAUUUGUUCUAGACCUUGUCAAUGUUGCUUUUAUCAUAAGGAGUACCCGGUUGCUUCCAUGCCAAGCAUCUCAUAAUUAUGGCAUUCUCAUCAUUUUUCGAUCCUCAAGAAGCUUGCUUGUGAGUAUUUCGUGUAGAUUCAAACCCCAUUUUACUUUCUACUUUUUCCAAUUUGUUUAUUCCCAUAUUGAGUCCAUCCUUGAGUGCUUUAUUGGCCUGCAAGUUUCUAAUGCCUUCCUCCGUGACACUUGUGUCCAAUUUCUUUGGCUAUUGUACACAGUUGCAUGUACUUUUGGUAUGUUUCUAUCAGAUAAGUGUUACCAUAUAUAAAAAUAUUAUCUCUGCAUGUUUGCAAUACUACUACAUGAAAAUAAAGCCUUCUGUUUCAUUUUGUCCCUUUCUGUUCUCGUUGGGCUGCUU